ensembl:misc_RNA Y_RNA Y RNA
GGCUGGUCUCAAUGUAGUGAGUUAUUUCAGUUGAUCACAGUCAGUUACAGAUAGAAUUCCUUGUUUUACUUCCCCCCUACGACCUCACUACUGCAGUUGACUAGUCUUUU